CCUACGGGAGGCAGCAGUGAGGAAUAUUGGUCAAUGGGCGGGAGCCUGAACCAGCCAAGUCGCGUGAGGGAAGACGGUCCUAUGGAUUGUAAACCUCUUUAGGCGGGGAGCAAUGCCGGGCACGCGUGCCCGGAGGGAGAGUACCCGCAGAAUAAGCAUCGGCUAACUCCGUGCCAGCAGCCGCGGUAAUACGGAGGAUGCGAGCGUUAUCCGGCUUUAUUGGGUUUAAGGGGUGCGUAGGCGGAUUUUUAAGUCAGCGGUAAAAUGUCCGGGCUCAACCCGGGCCGGCCGUUGAAACUGGGGAGCUUGAGUGGGCGAGAAGUAGGCGGAAUGCGUGGUGUAGCGGUGAAAUGCAGAGAUAUCACGCAGAACUCCGAUUGCGAAGGCAGCAUACCGGCGCCCGACUGACGCUGAGGCACGAAAGCGUGGGGAUCGAACAGGAUUAGAUACCCCUGUAGUC
rnacentral:rRNA from 1 species